rnacentral:misc_RNA from 1 species
GGAAGUAAAAGUCGUAACAAGAUCUCCGUUGGUGAACCAGCGGAGGGAUCAUUAUCGAGUUUAUAACUCCCAAACCCUAUGUGAACUUACCACUUGUUGCUUCGGCGCGCGCUUCGGCGCCGCCGAGGACACUUAAACUCUUUGUUUUUAUAAGCAUUUCUGAGUGGCCGAAAGGCAAAAUACAAAUGAAUCAAAACUUUCAACAACGGAUCUCUUGGUUCUG